rnacentral:rRNA from 1 species
AUUGAACGCUGGCGGCAUGCCUUACACAUGCAAGUCGAACGGCAGCACGGGAGCAAUCCUGGUGGCGAGUGGCGAACGGGUGAGUAAAGUAUCGGAACGUGCCCAGUCGUGGGGGAUAACGUAGCGAAAGUUACGCUAAUAACGCAUACGAUCUAUGGAUGAAAGCGGGGGAUCGCAAGACCUUGCGCGAUUGGCGCGGCCGAUAUCAGAUUAGGUAGUUGGUGGGGUAAAGGCUCACCAAGCCGACGAUCUGUAGCUGGUCUGAGAGGACGACCAGCCACACUGGGACUGAGACACGGCCCAGACUCCUACGGGAGGCAGCAGUGGGGAAUUUUGGACAAUGGGCGCAAGCCUGAUCCAGCCAUGCCGCGUGCAGGAUGAAGGCCUUCGAGUUGUAAACUGCUUUUGUACGGAACGAAAAGGUUUGGCCUAAUAAGCUGAGCUCAUGACGGUACCGUAAGAAUAAGCACCGGCUAACUACGUGCCAGCAGCCGCAGUAA